ensembl:lncRNA
GGGGGGGGGUUGUUUGUUUGUUUGUUUUUCUUUGUUUCUUAUUAAAAAAAAAAAAAAACCCGAGUGUUGUAGUGAAAAAGAGAAUGCUCAUAGUGAUUAGGUUGGGAGAGAACUUUGCCUUUAAAAAAUAUCAGUAUAGAGGUUUUUUAUUUUUUGUUUUGUUUGUUUUAAUUUUUUGUUUCUGGUUUUUGAGACAACGAGAUUAAGAUCCACCUGCUUCAGCCUCCUGAGUUCUGGGAUUAAAGGCAUGUGCCAUGGUGUGUGUGUGUGUGUGUGUGUGUGUGUGUGUUAUUAUGAGGAACUGAAGAGAUAUAGCUCAGCAGUUGAGAGCACUUUUUUUUUUUUUAAGAUUUUAUUUAUUUCAUGUAUGUGCAUACACUGUCACUGUCUUCAGACACAUCAGAAAGGGACAUCGGAUCCCAUUACAGAUGGUUGUGAGUCACCAUGUGGUUGCUGGGAUUUGAACUCAGGACCUCUAGAGGAGCAGGCAGUGCUCUUAACCGCUGAGCCAUCUCUCCAGCCCGAGUGCACUUUUGACACCAAUUCCAGAACCCGCAUGGAUUGGCUCACAUCUGCCUUUAACUCCUUUUCAGAGGAUCUGGCACACUCUUCUGACCUCUAAGGAACCCUACCACUGAGCUAAAUCCCAAACCCCAUCUGUUUCUUUUUAAAAUUGACUCAGAAACUUACUCUGUAACCUUAGCUGUCCUGUAAUUCACUCUGUAGACCAGGCUGGCCUUGAACUAAAGAGACCAGCCUGCCUUUGCCUGUAGAGUGCUGGAUUUAAGGGUGUGAGCACGACAACCAGAAGAAACCCAUUACUUUAUAUGAUGGAUAUGUGUGGUGGUUUGCCCUGGAGUUAUCUGUAUUUUGAUGCUAAUUCCACUGUCCCAAGGAUAGCUGCCUAGUCGCUACUCAGGACUCAGGUGAUUUCACCAGAACCUUCUCCCCAUUGAAUUUGUAAAAUACAGGUGAGGGGCAGGUACAGGAAGGAGGCCUGUCAUUGGCUGAGAAGGAAGGAAGGAAGAGGAGAAGACUGGAAUGGAAAGGAGGAAGAGACAGGAGGGAGAGGAGAGAAGCCGUGGCAGGACAAAAUGGCAGGUGACGUUAAGAUCCCAAGUUGUUAUGAAUGUUUAAGGGAUGGAUGUGUAUUGGGCUUUGUAUGUUUAGGUGGGCAAUUAUAUCUUAUCAAUUGGGCCAAAGGUUAUUGUGUUGUGUGUUCUUUCAUGUGUAGAUAUAAGUGUAGGAAAGUGUGGCAUCUGGUCUGGGCCGCCACAGAGUUGAGAUGUGUCUUUCUGGCAUGGAAACCUGCCUUGGGAACUAGAUAGGUAGAAAGAUUGCUGCCGGGCUCAGAGAGAGGCCUUCGGCAGUGUGAUAUGAGAUGAAACAGAGUGAGUGAGACGCUUUGCUGACUGAGGAUUAAGAUGUCCAGCACUGCAUUGCUGGACCCAGCAAGGUAAAAGACAACCAUACUUCGG